rnacentral:rRNA from 1 species
GCUUACGGCCAUACCAGCCUGGGUACGCCUGAUCUCGUCUGAUCUUGGAAGUUAAGCAGGGUCGGGCCUGGUUAGUACUUGGAUGGGAGACCGCCUGGGAAUACCAGGUGCUGUAAGCA